AGCGAACGCUGGCGGCAGGCCUAAACAUGCAAGUCGAACGCCCGUAGCAAUACGGGAGUGGCAGACGGGUGAGUAACACGUGGGAACGUGCCCUUUGGUUCGGAACAACACAGGGAAACUUGUGCUAAUACCGGAUAAGCCCUUACGGGGAAAGAUUUAUCGCCAGAGGAUCGGCCCGCGUCUGAUUAGCUAGUUGGUGAGGUAACGGCUCACCAAGG
rnacentral:rRNA from 1 species